rnacentral:rRNA from 1 species
CCUACGGGGGGCAGCAGUAGGGAAUCUUCCACAAUGGGCGAAAGCCUGAUGGAGCAACGCCGCGUGGGUGAAGAAGGUCUUCGGAUCGUAAAACCCUGUUGGUAGAGAAGAAAGUGCGUAAGAGUAACUGUUCACGUUUCGACGGUAUCUAACCAGAAAGCCACGGCUAACUACGUGCCAGCAGCCGCGGUAAUACGUAGGGGGCAAGCGUUAUCCGGAUUUAUUGGGCGUAAAGGGAACGCAGGCGGUCUUUUAAGUCUGAUGUGAAAGCCUUCGGCUUAACCGGAGUAGUGCAUUGGAAACUGGGAGACGUGAGUGCAGAAGAGGAGAGUGGAACUCCAGGUGUAGCGGUGAAAUGCGUAGAUAUAUGGAAGAACACCAGUGGCGAAAGCGGCUCUCUGGUCUGUAACUGACGCUGAGGUUCGAAAGCGUGGGUAGCAAACAGGAUUAGAUACCCCGGUAGUC